GUUUUUUGAUUUGUGGAGUUUUAUUCUUUUUAUUACUUCCUUUUAUAUCUUUCUUUUUCCUUUUAUCUUUUUUUUAUCUUUUUUCCUUUUUCUCUCUUAUCUUUUAAUUCAUUUUCUUUCUUUUCUUUUGUUUUAAUUUCUUUUUCUUUUCUCUCUUUAUUUUCUUUAUUAGCCUUUAGUAUAAAUAGUGUUAGCUCUUUUAAUUUUGGGGGAACCAACUUGAUUACCAUGUACAUAUUUAGUUUUAGUUCCUCUUUUUCUAGGGUUUUAGAGAAGGUUAGCCUCAACAAUUAGUUUAUGGAGAGAAAAUUAGGGAAAUCGAUUAUGAAAUUGGGGAUUUUGAUAAUCAAGGGUGACAAUUUGGUUUGAAGAUUCAAUCAACAAUCAAUGAGAAUUUCUUAAUCUCUCUCCUCAUUUAUUUCUUUAUUUAUUGUUUCAUUUAUUGCUUUUCACUAGAGGAAAAAUUGCCAUGUGCUUCCCUUCAAGUGCGGCUCAUUUGAUAAAUUGGCAGCACUUGAGAGAACAAAAAAAAAAAAAAGUAUUUUCACAAAAGCGGGCUCAUUUUAGAAAAUUGGCAGCACUUGAGUUCAAGUGCGGGCUAUUUUAUGAAAGAGCCGCACAAAAUAAUGAAAUAUUUCCAAAUCAAGUACUGCCAAUUUUAUGAAAGAGCCGCACAAAAUAAUGAAAUAUUUCAAAAAAAAUUCAUUUCCCCUUCUUUCUCCUUCCUCUCCUCUAGUUCAACCUAACUCAUCUCUGGUUCUCUCUCUUCCCAUCUCUGGUUUCUCUCCUUCACCUCUCUGGUUCUUCUCUGGGCGCGAAUUUAAAACUUCCUGCACACACCGCACUGUUGUUCCCCCACCGCCGCAUCGCCGCAGAUGUUCCCCCACCGCUCACCGAUGUUGUUCCCCCACUGUUGCGUCUCUGCUGUUCCACACCGCCGCGUCGCUCCUCCUUGUACCUUAGGAGCUCAGGAACAAUACUGCUUCCACUAUGAAACCUAAUGAUUCUCUUCUUAGAUUCGGCUCCAGUAAUGCUGAGGUUAUCUAAGUUUUGGAUGUUCAACACCCUUCCUUUCCUUGGGUUCAUCUUACAUGUAUACUUCCUUGGCUGUUUGAAAGGCCACUGCCAUAUCCGUGGGUGAAGAGAUCUCCACUCUUGGACUUCCCUCUGGCAUUUGUCCUCUUGUUUUUGUCUUUACUGGAGCAGGAAAUGUUUCGCAAGGUGCACAAGUGAUUUUCAAGCUUCUUCCUCAUACUUUUGUGGAUCCUAGCAGACUCCCGGAGUUGUUUGAAAUAGUAUUCAAUAAUCCGAGGAAGCGGCCUUUCAACUUUGAGGAGAUAGAUGAAGUUCGAGAAAUGUUGGCAAACUUCAUUACCAGAGAUUUUCUUUGAUAUUUUCUUGUACUAAAUCUUAAAUUAUGGAUUCUAGCUAGUUUUUCAUAUGAUUGUAAUGUAAUCGACUUUUAUAUUUACAAUUAUAUACUAUUUAAUUUAAUUAUCUAUAUAAUUGGAUACUUUUUAUAUGA